GAUAGUCCAUCACUAAGGAUGGAGAUGGUCUAGAUAAAGGUAUAAAUAUAGAUAAAGUAAGCUUACCAAAGCAGGAAUGCAUUUGUGCAUCAGGAUUAAAAAUCAUGUUAAUUCUGUAGGCUAAUCUAACUGUGAUGUGUCUCUGAGCUUCUUGCCAGCCAAGGUAAAAAGGGAAAGAAGAUAAAAUCACAGAGCAGCAUUUUUACGUGUGACAAAGUGGACAGUCAACCGCAAUUGUAGAACAAAGGCAGAAGUGGUUUUCACAACAAAUCUUAAUGAAAACUGAGGGCAUAGUAUUCACCUGCAUUCAGUGAAGACAGCUCUGCAAAGCCCUGCGGGGCCAGUGCUCCCAGGGUGUAGCCUGACAGGGGAUAGGACUUAGAAUGCUUAACAGAGUGGGUGUGUCACCACUCUCUCUUCCCUAAAUGCGAUUUCUCUGGCUGGGCUUUUGACAAGGAGUUGUUUACGGAUACUUUGAGGUGUUACUUCUUUUUGAGCACCUCGAGGCUGGUCUUCUAUAUCAUAGGUAGAUAGAGAACUUAUAUAAAAUUGUCCAUCCCUGUUCCUGGCAUCAAGUGGGAACUCUGUUCAUAUCUUUGCUUAUUUGUUUAUCUUUUUUGUUUGUUCUACCAUCCAUCCAUCCACCCAACCAUCUAUCCAUCCAUCUGUCCAAUCAUCUAUCCAUCCAUUUAUUCAUCCAUCCAUCCAUCCAUCCAUUCAUUCAUCCAUGUAUCCAUCCAUCCAAUCAUCUAUCCAUCCAUCCAUCCAUCCAAUCAUCUACCUAUCCAUCCAUCCAAUCAUCCAUCCAUCCAAUCAUCUAUCUAUCCAUCCAUCCGUCCAAUCAUCCAUCCCUGCCCUAAUUUUGGAAAACAGAGUAGGGAGCUGUGGUGGUUGACAUGUGACAUAUUUGAUGAUGUGUCUGUGAGAUGGAGGCUGCCAUCCUCCAUCCCCCAUAAAUCCUUGGUCCUCACCUGAGUUGUAAAGUCCUGUGGGACAGAGUGGAGGUGAACCGGCCUGGUUGUUUAUCGGGGGAGCUGUUGGUGAUGUAUGGAUGGGCCAAGCUGUGGGAGAGAAAUCUGAAAGGACACCCACGGAGUGCCCACCUAGUGAGAUGAGAGCCGUGCUGCAGGAAAGGCCUCACGUGUCCCUUUCAUACAAGGAAAACAGCCCACUGCCGACUCUUUCUCAGCUGUGUAUUUGUGCUGGAGGCCAUGCUUGUUUGCACAACCAGUUCUAUGGGUACGAGUCGACUUUUUUUCCUUUUCAGCACUAUGCUAUUCAGUUGCCAAGAAACACAUCAAUUGCUUAAUGUUUUAUCUAAUCCAUCCUGCCGAUGCUCUUGUAAUACGAUCCAUUUCUUUGUUCUUGGUUAAACCAAUCGUGUGACUAGAUAAUGUCUGAAAUUCUGCUCUUAACAUCUCCAACCUCCUUCUCCUGGGCGGGUGCACACACAUCCAUGAACACACACUCACGUGCACGCACAGGUGUGUAUACGUUUGAGGACCCGAAGCUUCAGAAAGAUAGAAAACAGCUCACAGCGGGCAUGGGCAUCCUCGGACGCCCUGAAGCCCCCCGUGACACCCCGCGGAGCUGGCCAGGCUGAGGAGCUGGCUUUGAAUCCUUGAGGAGCUGCGCGAUUCCGGCUAAUGAACUUCCCUAGUUUUCUGAAAGUUAACCAGAACAUCUUUUUUCUCAGUUGCCCAGGCUACUGAAAAUUUCCUAUGAUGCAGUAACCCCUCUUCUCACGUUAGCGAGCGUCACGGAUAGCUGAACCCACCUUUGGAUGACUGAGGCUCGCGAUAGCUGCGGACGGAGGCUCACUAAGGUGGGAAAGAGCUGGAUUAUGAAAUGAGAUGAGCCCGGAGUUAGAUUGCGGCUCUGAAUGCCACGUACAGGCCGUGGGACUGUAGACAACCUGACAACUUUUACCAACCUUGGUUUUAUUCACGGGCCUGCAGACGCAGAGAGGGUCACAGUCACCUGCUGGGGCUAGUGUGAGAGUCAGAAGUCACGUAGGUACGUUGCCGGGACUCAGCCUUCUGUGUGGGGGAGCAACUGCCGCCUGGCUUUUCUCGUUCCAGAGAGCACAGGAGGGGCAGACAGUUGUAAAAGGCCCAGGAAAUUAAAUUGAGUCCAAAGUGGCCUGUCCUCAGGACGGCCUUCUGAGAUGCUGAAUUCUCACGGCAGAACGGACGAUCUCAGUAUUUAGAAAACUGGGGUGUAGUGGGAAAGACCCACAUCUGGCGUGUCUAUCUGGUUUCACUCUGAAGAGCUGCUGGUGUCAGUGGGGGACGCAGGUGCCCGGAGCCCGCCGGGGUAAGGGCGUCUCCGGCCGUCACCGGGCUCGGCUGGCCCGCGAGGGAGGCAGGAGCGGCAGGGCGGGAGGCCUUAGCCCCGGCCCCACCGGGCGGUGACGGCGGCCGGGGGCAGAGCCGGCCCUCCCGCACCAAAGCCCGCGGCUGCCACCUGCUCCCCUGGCCACGGGGGCCCCGCCCUGCCCUCAGUGUGACGGGGGCUGCUGGCGUCUGGAAGAUGCCCUAUUGUCGUGCAGAGAGAGACUUGAAGCAGCAAACAAACAAAAAUGCUCCUCGGGCACCUGGGGUCUCUAGGAGCUUUUAAGGCAAAGGGCAUUUUGGUGAGUUACCAGCAAAGCUUAAACACGAGUUCGUGGCCUCAGAGACACCUGGGUGCAAACCGAGGGGGGCGGCGCGGGCAGCACGUGCCACUGUGAAGCUGCCUGCGUUGUCAGCUCCGCUGGUUCAAGACUCACGAGGGGAAGCCCCAGAUGACGGCGGCAAGAGGGACGGGGCCCCCAAGAAUCACAGCCCGCCGUGUCUCUAAGAGCAGAGCUGUGUUCAGCAGCUCUGACUGCGCCGAGCCGCAGCAGACGGCCAAGAUCUCGGAGCCCGCUCGGCAGUAACGAGCGGAGGCCACUUAAACGGCUCUCCUCCCAUUCUCCCGCUCAGAAACCCAUGGAAGCAUCCCCGACGUCUUCAGCUGAUCAGGUGUAGGAGGGACAAAACUUAGACGACGGAGAACAAAGAAACCCCCAGCCAACGGGCCCGGUCUCCCAGGCCUGUGCUGUUUUCCAAGGCUGGAUGUUUCAAUUGUUAAUUAAUUAAUCACAAAUUAGUAAAUGACAAGCAAUAAGUGAUAGGGCUAGACCGUGAUGUCCCGUGUUUCUAGAAGUGCUAAGUGGCUCUCCCCACAGCAGACUCUCCAUAAAUAUAAUGACGUGCCUACUGCAUGCCAAGUGCUCUGCCGGGCACCCUGGAGAUCACAGAGAAGCCCUCGGACUGGCGGGGGACGCAGGGGCGCCGUGCAGGGGCCCCUGGCCACCCCAGGCAGGAGGUGCCAGGUGUCUGGAGACGGGCCGGCCGGCAGGUCCGGGAGCCCCUGGACCAGGAAGCGAGUUGGCUGGGAGUUUGUUUGCUCCUUGUGAGUGUCAUGCAUUGAUUCCGGUGGGAGAAAUUCCAGCUGGAUAAGAGAUGCAUUCCAGCCAGGGACAGUUUUAAACUUCAAGGAGAGAUUUUUAAGGGUGUCAGGAGAGACCUGGGGAGGAGGAACCAUUCCCCACCUGGAAUUUUGAUCCAAAGGGCCUGUGCUUGCAAAGGGGAAGGGCCACGAUUCCCUUGUCCCAGGACGUCACCUCUGUGACAUUAAAUGGCUACCAGAACAGGGAGGGCACCCCUCGCAGUCACGUGCACAGUCAGCAUAUCCAACGGAGGACAGAUAAGCGUCCAAUCAAAGCAGGACCUGGCUACCUUCUAGCUGUGUGGCUUUGGGUGGAUAAAUUAACCUCUCUGAGCCUCAGUUUCUUCUUCUGUAAAAUAGAGCUGCUCUGAGCAUUAUAGGGUGACGUGGGCAAGGCGUCCAUCACGGGCCCGGCACAUAAUCAGUGGUCAUUCUCUUAGUGCCCCUCCCCAGUCACUCUCACCCGCAUAGCUGCGCCGGCAGGGAGUGAAUUCAGCUCACAGGCAGCCGCUGCAUGAGCGUGUCUUACGAGCCCGGGCUGUCUCAUUUCACCCUCCCAACUUUCUGUGCGACACAGAUGCUAUGUCACCAUUUUCUAGAGGGGAUUGUUGGGGCCAGAGAUGAAGAUGUGAAACCAGGCCCUUGAGGUCUCCCUGGGCAUUCUGCCCAGCGGCUCCCACGUCUGCUUCCUGGUUAUUUGCUCCUGUUUCGACUGGUCAGACAUGUCACACACGUGUGCUCGGCACCGGGGAGGGGGGGGGACUGGUACAAAGGAAGCCCCAGGGCCCCACCUGUAGGAGGCUGCGGUCUGCUUGAUAAGAAGGUGAGUUACAGCCCAUCCUCGCUGACGGGGGGGCUGUUUUUCCAGUCCUGUUGGCAUAGACCCUCCUCCUGCAGCACCCAGCUCGGGCUCAGCCGGGUCACACGGGAGGACAGGGGCGAGGCAGGCCUGGGACCAAGCCGCCCUGCGCGUCCCGGGGUGGGGUGUGCGGGCUUAAGCCGGGGCGCUGCUGGAAGGCUCCUUUUCUUGGCUAACAUACCAGUCAAUGGGGAGUGUUUCUCUAGGUAUGAAGCUUUAAGCUUAGCUACGAGGGAGGCAGAGGGAUGAAGACAGUCUUGGCCCUCAGGGGGCCCCGAGCCCAGGCUGCAGAGAAACAGCCCCCAGCAUGCAGCGCCUGUCAGGGGCGGCAGGGCAGAGUGGGCAGCGGGGAAGGAGGGGUCGGCCUGGGGUCUCCAUGAGCUUCAUGGGGCCUUAGAAAGACAUGGUCGCCGGCACUGAGAACAUGCCCAGGAGUCAAGGGGAGGAGGUUGCCACACUGAGAACCAAAAGGAGCCCCUUCAGUAUUAAGUCCACCGUGGGUAGACAGAGGCGGGGCGACGGGAUGGCGUGGAGAAAUGGCACCGUACCCCCAGAGAAGCAGAGUCAGGUGCCGGGAGGAGGGGCGCUGACCCAGACCCAGUGGAGGUUCUGGAACCUCACUGCGUGCGUGAACCAUCGCCAGGCUUGUUAGAAGCAGGCCUUCGACCCAGCCAGCGGGAGUCAGGGUCGGAGGCCUGGGUGGGCCAGGGCUUCCCUGGUCACAGGGUCUUCUGGCACAGUGGCUGGGGACCACACCUGAGAGCCUUUGCUCUGGACCAGAGGUGCUCCUGCUUCCUCUGUUCCUCCCCUUCUCAGGACACAGAGCAUCCUUCUCAGAUGUCCUCUCCCUGCCCUGCUCAGGCUCCCCACCUGGGCACAGUCUGGUGACACUUUCUGCACCCCCUGCUCCGGCCGUGGGUCACUGCCCUAGCCAGCCCAUGGACGGGGCCAGGCUGCAGAGAAACAGCCCUCACGGGAGAGGGUGGAGACAGGGGACCCCUUGGAGGGUCCAGCCCCCGAACCUCUCUGCGGGGCGUGGCUCAGCCGCCUGCGCCCUCGGGCCCCCGCGAGACGCCUCCCACGCCCCACCUCCCACGCUGACCCCCCCCCGGCUCUGUUCUCCUUGCUCCCCGAGUGCUCUUGCUCUGCCUCCCCACCUCCUGGCUGCUCUCACCCCACCCAGAGCCCAGCAGCCAACCUCCAGAACGGAGCUGGGAGGCUGUGACUAAUGCGCUUGAAGGUGAGUCAUCUGCUAAAUAUAAAAUCCCCUCACUCCUGCAUGCGAAAGACGCCGAGCAGCCGCGUCCCUCCCACCCGAUCCAUCCUUCCUCGGGGGCUGCUGAGGCCCCUGAAGCUCAUCGUGAACAGCAAACAAAGCCCAUCGUCCUUGACCUCCCCUGUGUGUCUCUGAAGUGGGUGCGUUUCCUGCUCUCGGAGCCGCUCUGGGAGAAAGGGGUUGAUGAGGACGGUGGGGCCUGGCCCCCGAGGAAUUAUGAAGGGGCACGAUUCACCCUCGAGACUUGCCUUCUCUUCUUUCUGCCCCGUCCUCAUUUAGGCCACUCCAUCCUCUUGCAAAGGUAAAGAUGACCCUCGGGAACUCACCUGCAUCUGGCAGGAACCCGGCGAUGCGUAACCACUCGUGACCGAUGAGCUGAUGGAGGGGUCGGGGUCGGGCCUUGCAGGUGGACAGGUGUCUCCUUAGGGCCACACAGAUCCCGUUCUGCUUGGCCUGACUGUGGUGGGUCUUUGUCAUCUCUGGAACACGAGUUCUCUAGAAUACGUGUGAAGUUUUGCGUGGAUGUUUAAUACUUGACACCGACUUUGUGAUUAUUUCAACGAUUUUUCUCAACCCCAGGAGGUGAGUGUGCCAUGACCCUGAGUUUACAGAUGAGAAAACCCAGGUUCAGAAAGAUGAAAGCAAUUGUCCAAAAGCGUAAGAGCAGCAGCAUUGGAAUCAUGACUGAAACCAGUAUUUCAGACUUUCCUUCUAGGCUAAACCAGUAACUCUUAAACUUUCCUUGAUGCCCGCCCACAGAAAGAAAAAGUAUUUUGUGCCAUGAUGCGGUGAAUGCACACACACAUAUAUGUGUAUUUGAAACAAAUAUUUGGGGAAAUAAAAAUUUGCUGCCUUCUAAUUCCAUUCUAUUCUAUUCUAUCCUAUUGCUUUCUUUCUGUUCUAAUUUUAUUUUAAAAAUUAUGUAGCCCACCCAAUUGCUUUUAUGACUCUCUGUAAGUCUGUACCUGCAGUUCGAAAAACAUUGGGUUACAGCAUACGUAAGCUAUUUUAAUAUUUCCACUGGACAGUGUCUGGAAAGCCACGUUCUAGUCCUAGGACGGGAACUAACUUUGUGACCUUAGACAAGCGUCUCACGUCCCGGGCCACAACUUCCUAGAGCCUGCGCUGUAAUGGACUUUCUGGACUUUUACUGAAUGACCAUGAUCCUUUAAUCACGGGAAGCCCUUUGCUUCUGUCUGUCUCUUUGGGAAGAAGAACAGGUGCCUCCCCCGGCCGCGGGUGUCAUGCGUGUUACCUGUGCUCAGGUGUGUCUUAGGGAGAGAGCUGGCAGGCGGCCGGGCAAGUCCCUGCUCUAGGUCAUCACAGCAUCAUGGCAAGGAGAGAAAAAUGCAGCUUCUCUUGAUCGGGAUUCGGGAUCUGAAAUGAAAUGACACAUUUUCUCCUUUACAAAGUCAUGUGAGUCCCUCACCCACCCCCUGCCCCAGUCUUUGUCUUUCUCGUCUAGGCUUUUUGAAAGGCCGCGGAAAGGCCACUUCAGUGGAGAUUAGGAGAUGUGGGUGGCGGCAGAGAGACAGACAUGGAGAACAGUGAUCAGACUGGCUAACCACUCUGACCCUCAGUCUCCUCUUCUGCAAACUUGUAACAAUAAUACCCACCUCCUGAAGUGCCUUGAGGAUCAGCUGGGAUGAGGCAUAUUUACAAACAGUCAAACCCUGGCUCUGAUCGGUCUUUACCCCAAGCACAGCCCUCGUCACCCUCGGAGAUCCCCCUCCUCUGUCAACCCCUCAGACCCGCUUUUUCCCAUCAGCAGUUUUCCCGCUUGGAACAUCUGCCUUCUUUGCUUGGGGAGUGGGUGCAGGAAGGUAUCUCCAAACCUGUCUUCCCACAUAUGCCCAGAUCAGGGGAUACAGGGGCUCCGAGUCUUGAGUUUGGGGACCCCCCCCUCCACUGCAGAGGACGGGAGGACAGCAGCUCUUCCACCUUCCCACCCAGAGAAAGGUCAUAGGACGCGCGCUUUGUGCCUUUCUCCACCUGCCUCGGGGGUGACCUCCGAGUUAGAUGCUUCCUAGCCCAGCGCUUCCUUUGCUGCUCUGCUCAGCGCGGGAGCCCAAGGUGCCUUUGAUCCCAGCGGAGCCAACCCGCUUGUGCGACUCCACGGCACGCGCCUGCCCUCUAGUGGCGAGAGAGGAAAAGGCAUGCGCAGCCCGCGGCCCGGAGAGCCCGUCUGCGGCCAGGCCUCAGGUUACUGCGGGUGACAGUGUGUGGUCACCGGGACCCUCGGCAGCGCCACCGCAGCCCAAACUAGGCCGACACGUGGAGGCCAUUCCCUGGACACACUCCAGGCCCCAGAUGUGCGGUUUCACUCACCGGUUCACUUGUUCAUUCAUUCAGCAUGUAUCUAAGGAGUGUCUACAGGUGCGUGUGGGGGCGGGGCGGGGGUCCGGGCAGUAGGGCCGCAGCAGCAAUGUCCACCCGCUCACGCGGUCUUCAUUCCAGCGAGUGUGCUGUUUGUCAGGCACGGAGGGGGUCUUCUCAACCCUCCCCACCUCCCCCCACCUUGGAGUCGAGAAAUGAGAAGACACCCACCGGGCACCUGGCUCACGCCAGCGUCUCUCAGAUCCGCUCUUUUUUUGAAACGGUCCCGACAAUUAAACGACACAAUGUAAUAGAAGCGGCUCUGAACAGAUGGCUGGCUGGACCAAGUCUGAGCCCUGGCUCCUCCCCUCCCAAGCCAUGUGACCUGGGGCUCGUCCCUGAAACCCCAGGGGCCCUGUCACCUUCCAGCGCCGUGCCAGGGGCCCGUGGACCAGGCAUGGACAGAGCACGCGGCCCCUCGGGCUCCUCAGCGCUGAUGUGGCCUGUGGCCAUGGUGGCUGGAAUGCCUUUCCACCUGGAGUUCAGAGGGAGCAGCCGAAGACUUUUGGCUUUAUCAUCAAAGGAGGGAAAUAAACUUGUAAAAAUUAAUUUGAUACAGUUCAUUCAGCCGCCCCACGUGUAGUGCAUCAGUUGUCUGUGGCUGUGUAACAGACCAUCCCAAAACUUAGGAGCUGGGAACGACAAUGUCUUAUCAUUGUGGGCUGACUGCGCGGCUUUUCCGCUGUACGUGAUAUCUGCUCUAUGGGGGCUGGAACGUCCAGAGUAGCUUCAUAUACACGUCUGGCUCCUCUGCUGGGAUGGUGGACCAGCCCCGGAGAGGGCAUGGGGGCGAUGGCCAGACCUCUCUUUCUUCAAGGCGUCUCCAGCAGGUGCCUGGACCUCCUUUAUGGGAGCUUAGCACCCUAGACGCUCUACAGGAGGCGUGGCCCCAAUGUGCAUGUCCUUAACAAGACCCCGACUACAGCGCACCGGCCAAAGAAAGUCCGGUAGCCAAGUCGGGGGCCAGCAUCGCAGCAAGCCGUGGGAGGACCUGACUUCCCAGAGGCGUGUCCGCGGGGGCACCAGGGUGGCAGUGCCCAGCUGCCAGCCCCGGUACUGGUGUGAGACGUUCCUCCGGAAGCCGUGUGGCUGCGUCCCCACAAGAUUCGGGGGUCAGAACGCACUUCGCGGCUGCCGUCUUACUGGGGGACGACUUCAAGCUGGGAGAUCCUCACGUGAUGUAGUCUGGCGUGGCCAGGAACGGUGGGAUGAGGUCUCCGGGUCUUUCUUGGUCACGAGAGCAGGUCCUAAGCCUGGCCGAGCACCCCUCCCCUCACGGUCCCUCCUUCGUUCCUCUGAGCGGGAGCCACGCCAGCGGAGACCCUGUGUGCGCACCAAACACCGUAACAUGUGCCCCCUUUCCCUCCGUCCCGAUCUGUCAUCCGUGGGGGACUGGCGGCACUGCAGGAGGAAGACGCGAUGGCGCUGAGGUCCUGCGACAAGGAGCACAUCGGAGUUCAAGGUCACCGGGCUCCAGACUCAAGCUCCAAACAAUAAUCCCCAGCUGUCAAGUCUGAGCUGGACUUUCUGUUUCCGUCUCUGGGGUGGAGGUUCGGGUGGGUCCCACCGCCCAGGUCUCCAAACGCCCGCGUCUGCUCUUACUUACCUGUGCCCACAGGGGUCACCAGGGUCGGGUUUACUCUUUUGUGAAUAAAUGUCUCUUCCUUGUAGCUCAAAGCAACAAUUUCUACCCUCCUCAUAUUGUCUUUCUUCUCUCAGGAGACACUCCUGAGAAUAAUAAUAACAGCGGUCAUUGCAGAAGCCUUCAAACAGCACUUACAGAACCUUGUGAACUGGGCCAAGCGGGGCACAGGGGUCCGUGCCCGAGGACUCGUCACUCUUCUUUUUUUUUUUUAUUUUUAAUGUUAGCAGUCCUGGAUAAUCAUCGCUCAUAUCCAGUAACUCAUCAGGGAUUGCAAGUGGUCACCUUUUUUUCCCCCGCUGUUCUUUGUUUUACGAGGGGGAGGUAAUUAGGUUUAUUGAUUUAGUCACAUUUGGAGGAGGUGCUGGGGACGGAACCCAGGGCCUCAUGCAUGCCAGGCACGCAAUCUACCACUUGAGCUGUACCCUCCCCGUGAGAAAGUCUUAACUCUAGACAAGUGAUCAACCCUUUAGGACGACAGGAUCUGAAAGGGAAGGAGUGAGUUCUGGAAAUAACUAAACAAACGUCUCAGUGGACACAUGCGAUGUCUUGCUCCUGAGGGAAAGUCUGCCUCUCUGCCUUGUGACACCCUGGGGUGCCCCAGAACCUUCCUCUGCAAAUUCGAACGGAUCAGGGGAGAAACAGUCUUUCAGAAUUUUGAGCUGGUUUGAUUACCCGCCUAACAGGAGAAAUGUUAGGAAGAAAGAGUGUUUGCUUUGUGUUCCCAGCGUCCACCCUUGGGAAGGAAUAUGUCCCACAAACAUCCACGGGGUCUGUUUGGUUUUGUUCCCGGGGCUACGCACAUGCAGUGUCCCCGGGGCUAGGAGCAUCCCACCUCAUGCUUAGGGUCAGGGAAGAUUUUUGUUUUAUGUUUAAAUUCACAUCCUAUAAAAAUCACCCUUUUAAUAAUGUGCACUUUGGCAGUUUUUAGUAUAUUCAGACUUGUACGACCACCAUCACUACCUAUUUCUAGAACAGUUCAAAACAUUUCCGUCACCCCAAAGGAACCUCAUGCUCACUAGGUGUCCCUCUCAAUCCCCUCCCUCUUCUGUCCCCCAGCCCCUGGCAGCCACUCAUCUACUUUCUCUCCAGAUCUGCUUAUUCUGGUCAUUUCCUAUAAAGGAAGUCACAAAAUAUGUGGCUUUUUGUGACGUUUUCUUUCACUGAGCACAGCGUUUUCAGGGUUCAUCUGUGUUGUAGGCUGAAUUAGUACUUCAUCAUUUUUUAAAUUGAGAAAUAGUUUAUCAAUAACACGGAUCUACAAUAGUAUGUAAGUUUCAGGUGAACAACAUAGUGAUUCUGAAUUUUUAAAGGUUAUAUUCCAUUUACAGUCAUUAUAAAGCACUGAAUAUAUUCACUGUGCUGUACUGUAUUUCCUUGUAGCUUAUUUAUUUUAUACAUAGUAGUUUGUGACUCUUAACCCCCUACCUCUCUCUUGCCCCUCGCCUCCCCCCCCCGCCACUGGUAACCACUGCUUUGUUCAUUACAUCUGUGAGUCAGUUGCCUUUUUGUUAUAUUCACUACUUUGUUUUAAUUUUUAGAUUCCAGGUAUAAGUGAUAUCAUAUGGUGUUUGUCUUUCUCUGGCUGAUUUAUUUCACUUAGCAUAACACCCUCCAAGUCCAUCCACAUUGCUGCAAAUGGCAAAAUUUUGUUCUUUUUUAUGACUGAGUAGUAUUCCAUUGCAUAUAUACCACAUCUUCUUCAUCCGCUGAUUUGCUGAUGGACACCGAAGUUGCUUCCAUGUCUUGGCAAUUGGAAUUAAUGCUGCUAUGACCACUGGGAUGCAUAUGUCUUUUUGAAUUAGUGUGUUUUCAAUAGUCCCAGGAGUGUGGAUCAUACAGUAGUUCUAUUUUUAGUGUUUUGAAGACAUACUUCAUUCAUUCUUAUCCACUGUGUGGAUUGACCACAUCUUAUUUAUCUAUUCAUUGGUUGACACAUUCUGGGAGGAUCUUAGUACCAGUGUGAGCUGAACUUGGAACCCAUAGACACAAGUAACUUGUUCCCUUUCCUGAUGACUUUGCUAACAUGCCAAAAUUGGUGCUUGAGGAAGAUGUCUGUGCAGGGCGGGCCUGUGAAGAUGAGGUGGGUGGGGAGCAGAAUGGGGCAUGAUGGGGUCUGGAGCUUCCUUCUACUAAGGAGGAGAGAAAGUCGAAGCCCCUCCCCAGGAGUCUCUGUGCAAGGACCAAGCCUGAGCUCGGUCUGCAGCUCUGUCCAUCAAGCCGUAAAGCCACAGGCUGAAGAGCUCGCUUGUUCUGGGGGUGGGAGGGAGCCCAGGGCUGGGGUAACCUUGUCUCCGAUUUCUCCCAGAAGCUCUGCUGAGAACCAGCUGCCCGCUGGUUCCUGGAGUGUGCGUGGCUGUGGCUGACUCUUGCUCAACAAUCUGCCAGAUCCUGUUAGGGAGAUGAGUGAUGUAGCUGUCCUCGUUCGUCAGGGCCUGCACCGCACAAAGGCCCAUUGCUGCGUGUCCGGGGUGGGUGGGGGGCCUGCCAAGGCACCUGUGAGCCACCCUGACGAUGAGCUCUCUCAGCCCAGCUUGGCUGGGGAGGCCCUGGGGGUGUAGCCCGUCCCCUGCAUGCCCUGCACUGAGUCAGAGCUGGGAGCAUUGGGACAAAGCAGGACAGAGGCCGGAGCACAGCUGAGAGUGUGGGGUUCCUGGCCAGGUGCAGAUGGAGCUCAGGUCCCUGGCCCCUGCAAGUGUGUGAGUGUGAGUGCGAGUGUGUGUGCGGGGCUGGGGCUGGGACCGUCCACAGAGGAGACCUUCUAGAGGGUGAAGCCGCCCUCCCUGGAGCCCAAGGACCUGUUGCUGGGACCCCCCACCAGCAGCCUCAACACCUGGGGGGUCAGAGCACAGCGAGCACCGACCAGAGGAGCCCGGAGGAGCCACGGGGUGAGUGAAGCUCUGGACAGACUGGGUGCGGCUGGGCUGGGAGAGAUGCGGAGAAGCCGGGACCCACAAAGAGAGCUGGAGAGAGAGCCCCGAGCUUCCCAGCCCCGCCCCCUUGUGGCGCGUAGUGGCCACACCCCUUUCCCGGGUCCUGGGGGCAGAUGCCACCCAAGAGGGGCCGCAAAAGUGGAAGGAUAGAGGCAAGUUUAUGGCCAACGGAGUCUUCCCAAGGGGGGCAGUGGGUGGUCGUCUAAUGUCCAAAGGCAGGACAGUGGGGCCCCAGCCAGUGGUGGGGAUUUUCAGACCCCCAGCUCAUGCUGCCGGGGAGGAGGGGAGGAGGCAGAGGGAGGGGUCUGGACAAGACACAAGCCCAGCUUUCACUCCCAGGUGCCCCGUCCCGAUGGCCAGGGCCCUGGGGAGGCGCUGGAAUAAACACCCGUGGGCCUUGGAACACGGAGGCAGGAGGUGCUGUCACCUGAUGGGCCUUUCAGAGACCCGAGGCCGAGUCCCGGAUCCUGGUGCACUUGCCACUGCUGGUCACCCUCCUCCUAGCCUUCUGCCUCCUCCGGGUGGUGGCGGGUCCCUGCCUCAUGUCCCAGCGGGAGCCUCUGAGGCCGGCUGGACCCCUCACCGCCUACAGCCUGGGCCUGGUGGCCCUCUUGGGGUACGUGUUCUAUGAGUGAAAGUGUAGAGGUCAAGAGCAGGAUCCAUUCUCCACCUCACACCGGAAAGAACCACCCCCACUCCUGUUUCUGCCUGGGCUCUGGUAACCUUGGCCCUGUUUUCUGAGCCCUGAACCCACUGAUCCUUCCAGAUGCCUUGUUCUCAGCAGUCAGCCAGCGCGCACUGGGUGUGCGAUUCGUGCCUGGCGGCGCUGGGAUCUGCGGGGUCCCCACUGUGGAAGGCACACCUGACCUCCAGGUGCUCACGGUCUGGAGGGGAUGCAGAUACAGGCAACUGCGUGUCAAUGCGAGCAGGGCGGCAGAAAGUGCUCGGGAACGGGGCAGGGACCCAGCUGCAGUGUCGGGGAAAGCUUUGCAGAGAACGUGGUCUGACACUUAAAGUGGUCCUCACGGCGAGGCAGUGCGCUGCGCCCUUCGCGAGGAUCUGCUCAUCCCAUCCUCCUGACAGCUCUGUCAUGAGGCACAGAGCAGGUAAGUACCUUAGCAGGUGGCCGGGCACCCUGACCUGAAGAGCUCACCUCGAUCCCUCCAGCCUUUGUACCAGCCGGGACCAGACAGCCAGCUCCGCCGGCUCCACCUGCUGGCGGGUUCUAGAAAUGAGGCCCGUGUCUCCCCAGCUCCCAGACUUGUUUUGAAAUCAACCAUAGUGGGAGGCUUUACACCCUAAGAAUGGGCAAAUCGCCCCCCCACCACCUGAAAGGCAGUUAAGCACGUAGCACCCCGACUCUGGGCUCUCCCCUGUUUCACGAUGUGCAUGUCUGGCUCCCCUCCAAACUGGCCAGUGCUUCAAAGGCAGGACCGUGUCUUUCUUCUCUUUGUAAAGACAGGUUCCACUUCGUGUCUGGUACCACGGGGAAGACACUGACAACUUGCGAGGCAUGAGACAUGCCCUGCAGAAACUGUCAUUUCUUUUUCUUUUUUUUAAAUCUUGUUUCGUUUUGGUUUUGGAUUUUUGGGGAGCGGAGGUAAUUCGGGUUAUUAUUAUUGUUUAGUGGAGGUCCUGGGGCUUGAGGGCAGGGCCUCAUGCACGCCAAGCAAGCACCCCGCCACUGAGCUGUACCCUCCCCCGCCGAACUUGCCAUUUAAUCAUGGUGACACCUGACCCCGCAGCCACCAUGAUCCUUUGAAAGUCUGCGGUGCCCGUGUCGGCUUCCUGCUCAGAAGCCCUCAGUGUCUCCCUUUGCCAACGUGACCGGAAUGCAGAGUCCCUCCAGGCAGGAAUGUGUAUCUGUUUUGUUAUUGAAGUGGCUCGGGGCUCAGAGCAGGACCCAGUGUGGAGAAGCACUUAGCACCAUUCGAUGCAUCAUUAUCAAAUGAAUAAAUAAGGGAUAAAGUUCAGGCUCCUUAAAACAGCCUGCAGGACCCCGUGUCAGUCAAUUCCGAGCCCUCUCUCUGCCCCUGUGGCUGCCCCUCCCCUGGCAGGCGCCUCCACCGCACCCCACUGAUCCCCGGCAGCCCCGGGGAGCUAGGAGAGGUCCAGACACUCUCCUCCCAGCGCGGAAAUCCCUCGCCCUCCCCUCCGGUCAUCCAUGGCCUCCUCAUUCCCAGGCCACUGCUGAAUUUCGGAGCAGCUCCUGUUUCCUACUCUUCAUCUGACCCCAUCCUUGGAAGUGAGGGUGGUCUCCUGCCUCCUCAGGGGGCUCUCGGCUUCUCCAGGGCAGGGCUGAUAGGUGUAGGUUCCAGGUCCCCUCCUGACUUAAGGUCCCACACACAGUAAGUGCCCCGUGUGGGUUUGGGGUCCACAUUUGCCCACCUCAGCAAGAUACGUGCAAGUCCCAGCCCCCGAUCCAGCCACUCUGUGGAGUUUCUCUGAUGGGCAAUCGCUCACCAAGCGUUGGUGAGGGUUUGGUGGGGCUGGGGGAAGUCGGCGUCCAGAACAUGACAGGAAGAGGCAUCAGCCUCUCGAGCCUUCAGCCAGCCGGGCCCCACCACGGUGGGGGUGGGACAGGCUUCAGGACUUGCUCUUUUCCUGUUCUCUUCCUCCUAGUUCAUGGCCACCUCGCUCCUAGCCAACUACAGCUACUUCUGCCAGCUGGUGGACUACAGCCAAGUGGGCUCGGGAUAAGGAUGGCAAGCGUGUGCUGAUGGUGCCCCUUCUCAAAGGCCAUUGACACAGUGAGUGGGUGAGUGCCUGUCGCUUAAAUGAAAUUGUCUCCAUCAGCUGGGUCCGGGGUGGUUUUGAAGGCUCUUUGUGUGAACAUGUCCCUGCAGCGUUCCUCUCAGCCACACCUGAGGCUGCUGUCAGAGCCAACCCUUGAUCCCAGGACCUGGAGGAAGAAGGAUGCUCAUGGAUGAAGCAUUUGCUCCCUUUAGCAACCAUGUUCCAGGUUCAGUGAAACUGGGAGGCUAAACAAAUUUUAGAAACCCUGAGAUUAGGUGGCAAAGGCCAUCUUCAAGUGCGAUGAGGAGAAGAGGCCCUGCUCGUGAAUCUAGAAGGCUUGCAGGAUUGCGUGGGGCGGGGCGAGGUCAAAAUUUUGGAAUCGUGAUGAAGGUAGAAGCUUCUUUCGUAUCAAUCUCUUGCCAAAAUGGAGUCUAAACAGAGAAACUUUGGGAAUUUUUUUAUGGUUGUGUGGGCCCUGGGCUGGGGUUCAACCCCUGAGUUCUCUCCCCAGUGCCUGAGGGUGGCGGGGGGCAAUAAUACUGGAAAGAUCCCAGUCUCUGAAGCCAGGCUGUGUUCAAAUCCCAGCUUGGCUUCACAUUAGGGGUAUCACCCUGAACGAGUUACUUGAGCUCUGUGCCUUGGUUUUGCCAUCUGUAAAAUGGAGAUGAGUAUAAACCACACGCCAUUGUGUUUGUAUGUACAGCACCUGUACACAGCAGGUGCUGCGCGGGCAUCUGCAUGGUGUUGCCUUCCUUGACUGUCAGCCUCCCUGUCAGCAAAACAGGAAGCAUCACUCUGUCCUUGGUUGUUGAGGCCGCAGGAGAAGCGUCUGGAGGAAUAAGGCUCAGGCGUGGCACUCCUUUUUCCUCCCCAGGUCUUCUUUAUUUUACAAAAGAAGCCAGAGUCGGUCACCUUCCUGCAUGUCUACAGCCAUGACACCAUGCUCUUCAACUGGUGGGCUGCAGUCAAAUAUGUGCUGGGGGGUCAAGGGUCAGCUCAUGGCCAUUGCUGUCCACUCCUCCUACAAUCUCUUUGCCUUGUGCCCCUUCCCCGAUGGGUUCAACGUGACUGUCCUACUCUACACCCUCAGCCUCAUCACCCUUUUCCUCGACUUCUACCACCAGACAUAUCUGAGGGGCAAGAGGGAUAAGCUGGCUUAAGGGGUGGGACCGAGGACUGAAACCAGCAGAGAGUUUGGUGGAAGACGGCCCUACUCGCAGCCCACUGAGCUGAGCAGGCUCCCCUGGGCUGGCAUUUCAUCCUACGAGGGGAGGAGGAGAUUUUCCUUCUUUCCAGAGGUCAUGAGGAUGAAAACGGACCCACCUUCCUGAACCUACUGUUGUUACGGCCUUUCUCAGGUGGAGUUGUUACUGCGUGUCUGCCUCCUUCCUCAGCUAGACCUGAGCCCCUCACAGGAGGACCUGUCUUACUCCAGUGUCCCCACACCUGGCACAACGAUUUUCAAUAAAUGUACAUUUGGAUCCUUGUCUUCCCCCACUAGCAGUCGUGGCCUCUGGUGAGGAGCGGGCUGGCAGCCCGGCUGGGAGCAUAGAAGAAGUCAAGGCUGGCUUGAUCCCUCACCUUGCAGGGCAAGAUGAUGACUGAGAACAUCCAAGAAGGAGUGUGGGUCUGUGUGAUUUCUAGCUUGGCUGUGUAAACAGUUCCCCUGCACACCUCUCUGUCUCUUCACUAGUGCCUAUGUAUGCAUUUACAGAGGUGUGUGAUUCUGUGUGUGUGGAUGGGGCAGCAAAGAGGGCUAUGUCUGUACAUUUGAAUACUUGUUCUCAAAUACACCCAUGUGUUUCCAUUUAUGAUUUUCUCUGUUGGUGUUUUUUGCUGGUCUCUUCUAUGAAUCUCUGCAAAUGCUACAGCGGCAAAUAAAAGCUCCUGGCAUCAAUAACUCUCCUGUUCUGAUGAGAGGCAUGGAAGCUCGUAAGAAGUCUCUGAAUACAUGUUCCACCAAGGGCCCCCCUAAGAGGAAUGUGGAAAGGGGGAAUGGGGUAAAAUGAACACAGCCAUCCACUUUGCAGAGAGGGAGCCUGGGGCCAGCAAAAGGGAGCACACAGCCGAGAGCACAGAGGAUGGCGGAAGCAGACGUCUGCUGGACUGUCUAAGACUGGAACUGGAUGGGCAUCUGGAAUGCAUUUUCCCUGGGAGCUCUCUCUGCCUCCAGGAUGCUGCUUCUUUCUUAUAACGUCUCCCCAUAGCUCUUUCCCGUCACAAGGAAAUUUCUUAUUUUGCGAUGUCUCGACAUCAAGAAUAUUAAAGACCCAUUAACAUUUAAGCAAGGCUAUUUGGGGACUAUUUAUCCAUCAGGUGCUCUACUUAAUUAACUCAAGGCCAUGCAGGGCGGCAU